GAAAAUCGUCAGUGUGCUUAGAACUGAAUUUGUCUGUGAUGCGAGAACGCAUUGCAUUAAAAUUAGAUUGAGGAAAUCAUUAGACGAACAAAAAACUUGCAUUUUAAGUCAGGUCAUUCUGACACACAUCUUGAGAGUCAAUUAUACCGUCGAGAAAAGAUAUCCGGGCAAACUCGAUCUUAAUGCGCUGUGACUAAGCAGACCUAUACAAAAACCUUAUAAUGAGCUAUUCGGUGAAAUGAACAAACAGGACGCGUUCGAUUAUUGUGAUGGGCGAUGACGCGGCUCGAGCUCAGUCUAACAAAAUGAUUCGUUAGCAGUCCAAUUCCACGAUUGUUUCGAUAUACCACAUCGUUGUUCAAAACAUCUCGCUACCGGAACUGAUGUAAGCAGGCACUCGAUCGUGUACGCCCCAUGGCUUCUCCGACGUCAGUCUCAUUUUGUUGGAGGCAUUCAAUAUAGCGACAAGUAACAUGGGCGAUUCAAUUACCCGAUCAAUGGCUAGCGGUACAAUGACUUCGGUACCGAACUGCUUAAUUACUUCUCCGAAUUGCCUCGCGUGAUGAAGCGCUCCGUUUACCUCGUAGGAUUCAAUCCUCCUGUCUUGAUAUUUCAAGACAAGAGCGCCAUACGUCCGUUAACGCCCAUAUAGAGUCAAUA